rnacentral:rRNA from 1 species
CGAACGCUGGCGGCGUGCUUAACACAUGCAAGUCGAGCGGUAAGGCCCUUUCGGGGGUACGACGAGCGGCGAACGGGUGAGUAACACGUGGGUGACCUGCCCUCAGCUCUGGGAUAAGCCUGGGAAACCGGGUCUAAUACCGGAUAUGACUCCAUGACGCAUGUUGUGGGGUGGGAAAGCCUUGUGCGGCUGAGGAUGGGCCCGCGGCCUAUCAGCUUGUU